rnacentral:rRNA from 1 species
GACGAACGCUGGCGGCGUGCUUAACACAUGCAAGUCGAACGGAAAGGCCCUGCUUUUGUGGGGUGCUCGAGUGGCGAACGGGUGAGUAACACGUGAGUAACCUGCCCUUGACUUUGGGAUAACUUCAGGAAACUGGGGCUAAUACCGGAUAGGAGCUCCUGCUGCAUGGUGAGGGUUGGAAAGUUUCGGCGGUUGGGGAUGGACUCGCGGCUUAUCAGCUUGUUGGUGGGGUAGUGGCUUACCAAGGCUUUGACGGGUAGCCGGCCUGAGAGGGUGACCGGCCACAUUGGGACUGAGAUACGGCCCAGACUCCUACGGGAGGCAGCAGUGGGGAAUAUUGCACAAUGGGCGGAAGCCUGAUGCAGCAACGCCGCGUGCGGGAUGAAGGCCUUCGGGUUGUAAACCGCUUUCGCCUGUGACGAAGCGUGAGUGACGGUAAUGGGUAAAGAAGCACCGGCUAACUACGUG